rnacentral:sRNA from 1 species
UAUUAUUAUUUUUACUAAAAACGUUGCAAGAUAAUUUUUCUUUUCAUAAGAUUCUUUUCUCUAAAUCUUUGUGGUAUCUAAAAAAAAAAAAAAAAAAAAAAAAAAAAAAAAAAUUGUUCAUGGUUUUGCCCUAAUUUUGCACGAAAUCAUUUUACCCAAAAUCUUGCACGAAUUCAUAUUAGCCUAAAUAAAAGUUUUGUCAAGAUAUAUGUAAAAUCCAGAUUUUGCACAAAAUAGUUUUAUUCUGAUUGGUUUUACAAUAUUGCAUUAAAAUUGUAUUAGUAUAUCAUACUUGAUUAUUUUAUGAAAUAAAUUGAUUGAUAAAUAACUUAAUUUAAAGGUAUAAUCACUUAUAAAAAUUUUCAUGAAUGACUAGUUUAAUGUAUCUUAAGAAGAUAUCAUAUUUUUGAUGGUCAAAGUUUUUUCAAGAACUUAAAUUAUCACCAGAAGUUGAGAAAAUAAAUAUGGUAAAAAAAA